GACUCGUUACAGAUGCUGGGCGGAUUCACUGACCGGACGCGCCUUUUUUUCAACUGUCGUCGUCACUGAAUCCUUCUCCUCACCGUGGAAAAGCUGGAGCCGGCAGGUCGGUGAAGACUAAACACGCUUACAGCUCAUUCAAGUGCCGCCAGUGUGUUUUUGGAGUAUUUCUUCUUUCUAUUUCAUCUUUCAUCUGAGGAAACUUACAGCUCAUUCAAGUGCCUCCAGUGUGUUUUUGGAGUAUUCUUCUUUCUAUUUCAUCUUUACCAAACGUCUGAGGAAAAUCAUUAUUUCAUAUCAUAGAGAGGAAAUGUCAUUGCUCCCUACGUAGGCCUCACCGAGCCAUGAGAUUCAAUCAAAAUAUCUUAAUUUGUGUUCUGAAGAUGAACGAAGGCAUUACGGGUGUAGAACGACAUGAGGGAACAUCCUUUCCCGCAUUCAACCAGAUGGAGUCCAAGAAGUUCCUCCUGUGUGCUGUGAGAAAGAACCAUGUAUCACGUACCGCCACUGAUGAAGACAUUACAAAACACAAUACGAUGGUUCAGCCUGGCAGCUGAUAGGGGAAGCUCCAGGAACCGUCCCACUGUGAGCACCCAACAGUAGAGUUUCAGAGUAUCAUUGGCUACGUUUACAUGCACCGAUUUUCAUCAAUCUGAAUUAAUUGAAUCUGAUUGCAGAUCUGUUUACAUUGUAAUCUGAUUCAAAUAUCCGCUUAUAUUUGUUUUAUAUACAUUCCGAUUAAAACUUUGACGUCAUAUCAAUCACACUUGCGGUAAACCAGGUUGCGUCAACAGAGUCAGAGAUAUUGUCAAAUGCAGCAAAUCUUGGCAAUAUUAAGAGGAUUUGGUAUUUCCAAUUAAUGUAGGCCUGUUACAUACUUCUAGUCUAUUAUUAUUACUAUUAGGUUAGGCUUCUUUCUUUUAUUAUUAAAUUAAUAUUAUAAUAAAUUUGCCCCACAAUUUCAUAGCGCAUCGCCGCAUAACUGACGUGCUCUGAGGAUAAUAUAACUUAUAAGAUUAGGCUAUUAGCUAUCUUUGAAAAUGAUUUAAACUUUUUUUAGGUCUUAUACAAUGAAUUAUAGGCCUAUAAUUAAAGUUAUUAAGAAUGUCAAUGAAAAUUAAGCGCAGCUUUACUUCAAGCACUGACUUUAAAAAACAAACCACCUGUUUAACACGAAAUACUAUUAUUCUCAUUUGUUUCACUAGCCUAUAUGUACGGCCACAAGUGAAAUAAUGGAAUAAAUUUAGACAGUUACAUAGGCUACCGUUAUCAGCAUUUUAUGUUGAAAUUUGUCUCUGAGAAUAUGCUGUGUUAAUGCAGCGUCAGACAGCUCUGUCACUUUUUACUUUCACUUUUUGUGGUGAAUACUGACCGAGUUUGAGGCUUUUUCAUCAGCAUAACUCUUGCGCAAAGUUUGGACGUUGCUUCUUGUGUGAUAUCCACUGGCUCCCCGUCUUGUCUUAAAACGGAAGAUUUCCAAUAUUGUGACGAAGGGAUACAUACGCCACUGCCUGUUGACAUACAUCUUUACAACUAAAGACGUGAACGUUAACUUUAAAUGCGUGUCAGCAUUGCACUGUUGUGCCCCAGAGGCUUCUGAAUACUAUUGAGAAAGUAGUCGGAUUCAAGUGUUUACAUGGUUAUUUUUUGCUGUUUGAUCGGAUUAGAAAAGGAAUAAACCACCCCUUCCAAUCCGAUCGAAAUUUCAUUCAGAUCGAUUGAGGUGUUUACAUGAACGUUUUUCAAUCCGAUUGAGCAGUCAAUCCGAUUACAAAUGGAUUAUUUGGGUGCAUGUAAACGUAGCCAAUGUUAACUUCAGUAUUUUGAAGUGUUCAUUUAAAAUCGCAACAGUUACAAUAAAAUAAAGAAGGUUCAAGUUUAUUUUUAAAUAAAUGUUUUAAUUGUUUUUAUUUCUAUUCAAAGAAUCUAAAAAAAAAAAAAAAUCCAGUUUCUACAAAAAAAUGAAGCAGUACAACUGUUUACAACAUUAAUAACAAAAAUGUUGCUCGAAUAUUUACUCUUAA